CCCCGCUCUUUUCCUCUCCUCCCUACCCGUGUGAGAUGAUGUACUGACUUGAAUUUCCGUUCGUGAAUGGAAAUGGGGCUAUCCUCGUAUCAAAAAAAAAAUAUUAUUGUCGUGUUUAAAGCUCAAUUUCCUUGUUUGUGAAUAUUUUCCAUGCUAUUGCCACUUUCCAUUGCUUGUUCUUCAUGCCAUGCAUGUUAUCUAUGAAUAGAGUUUAGAUCAUUAGAUAUGAGAGGUCUAAUUGCAUCAUCUUUUUUAUAAUAAGAUGAACUCACACAUAUUUCAAUCCUUUUUCACUGUAUGACAAAUAAAUGGGACUGGCAGAGAUACAUGGGUGUCUGAUGCUACUAGAUUAGUUAGGAAUUUUGAUUUUAUUUGUGUAAUAUUUAUUUUUCUAAGGUGGACAGAUGCGUAAUGAAGAGCAUAUGGAAAUAUAAUAUUUUCUUUUUAGGUGAAGGAGUUACUGUCUUUCAUCUUCAAGUAAAAUAUACCAUGUGCAAAAUGAUCAUUCAUAAACCACGUGACCACUGUGCUGGUAUUAGCAGAUUUGUAGAUUAUUGCUUUGCUUAUAUUUUCUGAUUAACAUCUCAGAUUGCAGCAUAUAUUUUUCAAAAAUGGUUGACGUUUUGCCAAAAUGGAUGCAACUGAUGCAAAGAAAGUUUGCUAUUGAGCCCUGGCAAUAAAAAGUUAGAUUUCAAAGUUACUGUCAAAAUCAAAGAUUCCAUUGUUGGUUGCUGCAAAGAAAAAUGAAAUAUUUUCUUUCAUCAUGAUGUCUGCACUACUAUGUAUAUCAUAUAUGAGCUGCCAUCUGAUUCAACUACAAAAGCUAGGUUGUGUUGUGCUCAAUACUGUCAUGCUAUGAACAAAGAUGGAGCCUAGAGCUAUGCCAUGAUUUUUAUUCAUAUAGUGAUAUUUGCAUUCUAAGCUAUACUAUGUUCCCUGACUUAUAAGGUUUAAGGUUUGUAUGGUCUUGUUCUUCUUUGAUGUUUAAUUUCCUCCUUUUCUUUUACAUGACAGGGCAUUCUUGAAGCAAUGGCCUUCAUGGUUAUAUGCCUUUCACUGGCUUCAUUAGACUAUGGAAGAUAUUGUAAGUUUCUAUUUCUGCUUGAUUCUCUUUCAGUACCUGGGUCAAUAAUUGAUUAACAUAAUCAUCUGCCUGGUUGCCUUGGCAUUGAGAGCGAUGGGGAUGCUAUUACAGUGAGAAGGUGCUCUCUAACUAAAACUCCCAUUGCGUUUAAUAUAUUAUUUUAUCUUUAUUGUCUCACUUUGUUGGUUUCUUGAUGAAUUACAGUUUACAUGGAAAUAAUGCUGUAUGUUCUCUGCUUAUUACUGGUUGCUGUAGCCUCUAGCCUGGAAUUAUAUUUUGGAGUACACAUCCAUACAUCUAUAUGCUAUUAGUAUUUAUAUAUCUACAUUAGUAAAUUGCAGAUGAAAAAUGCUUAGCUCCUAAAAGUUUUCAGUAUUUGUCAAAUUAAUGCAUUGCUUGAAAUUAGAAUAUGUUCCUCCUGUCUAUUGUAAUUAAGACACUCAAGCAAAGUGCUACAACCUUCUGUUCCAUGAAGACACCAUAAUUUCUGUUCACUAGGAACUAACUAUUUCUUUCUAUUGUCGUGAUAAGUCAUUCACUCUUUAGUUUCCUAGUUAUUCUUCAGUUUCCCAGUCUCCCAAGCAUGAAAACAAAUGGGUGGAUAACCUUUUUUAUAAAAUAGUAUAUCUUAGAGCUAGGAAAAUAAACCAUUGCCUAACAGAUUCUUUCUUGAUCAGUAUGUGCUUAGAAUUUCAUAUUAUUGUAGACAUCUUAGUAACUGUUUUUUUGUUCAGUAUAGCUAUCUGAAUUCUCAAUUUUGAUUUGGUUCCCGCUUUUCUGUAAUUGUAUCAAGUGCCUUUACCCAAAGAACAUAAAAAAGUCCUACCAUUUCCGUUCUCAUGUGCUUGGAUAACUUGGAGGCAGUGUGUCGGUGCAAAUGUGUGAGUUUCUUGCUUAAUUCGGGAGCCGGUAUCUUUUAAGAAUCACCCUAAACUAGCUUGUAAUAUUGAGCAACUUGAUGAAAGAUAUAAAAUAUGCUCUUAAGUAGGAAUCUAACUGGAGAGUUUCUUGCUUAUAAGUGCUCUGCUGGUGAACCAGAAACAAUAUACAUAGUUAGUGAUGCCAUUUGUGAAAUGCAAUUAGGUAAAGCUCAGUUCAAACUUUACCUAAUUUUGUUAGGUACCAUUUGACUAAUUGAAACUGAAGCCAUAUUAUUUAGUUUUGUGAGGCCUCCAAUCGCAUAUAGCUAAGGCUUGAAUUGAUAUAACUUUAGUUCAAUGUAAUCAUAGAGCUGGGUAUAUGAUUUUUAAAUAUACCACUGGUUUGUAUGCGUGUUUUAAAAAUUUACACAUGGUGAAACUUGGAGGUAACUCACGUUUCAGCUUUCCUGGAGGGGAGUCCCGUCCUAACAUAAUCGACCAAGGAGUACUAUUUGAUAUGAGAACAAGAAUAGAAAUUGAGAUGUGCUUGCCUAAAAAUGUCACCAUGAAUCAGUGACCAGAGCUAUGUUCUAGAUGCAAAUCAAUUGUGUAGGCCUAUUUUUCUUGUCAUGUAGGUCAGGGACAACCCGGUUGGCUCACACGCUCUAUCUCCAUAUCAAAAUUUGCCUAUCUCACAAAGACCAGCAAACUGAACAAGUGCUAGAAUUUGAGGAAGCAAAGAAGCAACAAAAUAGCUUUAUAAUUCAAAUUGUAAACUAAAGCUCUAUUCGAAUUGUAUGCAAAGAAGUGAACAGAGGAAAAGCAUGUGUACUCUGCGGCUCCGAUUGCUAGCUCGAUGAGUUUAUCUGAAGAUAUUGGGGAAGAUGUGCAGGCAAUGGGAUUGAUAGGGAGCUUCGAGCACCAAUAUGUUGUAUCCUUGGGCACGUGGAUGCUGGAAAGACAAAGCUGCUUGAUUGCAUCUGGUGAAGCAAUGUUCAGGGUGGAGAGGCUGGGGGAAUCACUCAGCAGAUUGGUGCCACCUACUUACCAGUUAAGAAUAUCAGGGAGAGAUCCUCCCUGAAAGCUCAGGUCACCAUCAAAGUUCCCGGUUUGCUUGUAAUUAACACCCCUGGCCACCAGUCAUUCAGUAACAUGCGCUUGAGGGGAUCAAGUUUGUGUGACAUUGUUGUAGUGGUUGUUGAUAUUACGCGUGGGCUUGAAAAGCAGAUGAUUGAGUCCCUUGAUCUUUUGAAACACCGCAAUGUGAGGUUUAUUGUUGCCUUGAACAAGGUUGCGGUAUGUGUUUUUUAAAUUAUAUUACAGUACAAUUACAAUUUAUUUUAUUUUAAUCAUCA